UACGAAGGGUGCAAGCGUUAAUCGGAAUUACUGGGCGUAAAGCGCACGUAGGCGGCUUUGUAAGUUAGAGGUGUAAGCCCGGGGCUCAACUCCGGAAUUGCCUUUAAGACUGCAUCGCUAGAAUUGUGGAGAGGUAAGUGGAAUUCCGAGUGUAGAGGUGAAAUUCGUAGAUAUUCGGAAGAACACCAGUGGCGAAGGCGACUUACUGGACACAUAUUGACGCUGAGGUGCGAAAGCGUGGGGAGCAAACAGG
rnacentral:rRNA from 1 species